rnacentral:tRNA from 1 species
GAGGGUAUAGCUCAGUGGAAGAGUGUGUGCUUAGCAUGCCCAAGGUCCUGGGUUCAAUCCCCAGUGCCUCCA